CUUCACAGACACAUUCAGGAGACACCUUAGACUUAUAUUACAUCUUUUAAAAACAUAAUCUAGGGCACCUUUAAGGAAAUUAUAUCAUCUGAAUAAAUAAUGUUGAUACCAAAUAUAUUAACACCUUCCACAGAUGGCCGGUAGGGAGUUUAGUUUUCACUAUUUAUUGCAUGCAGUUUUUUAGAAGAACUAGCCUAUCCUUUUAGUUUUAUAUUAUAUGCUUGCAAUAAACCUGUAAUCAAAAGAAAAAUAUAUGUAUUAUGCUUUUAGUAUCCAUUAAAUAAUAUCUUUUGUUAUAUGUUCUGUGUCUUGUCAGGACUUUUGUUGUACUUCCUGUUUUAUAGUGUCAUGUUUGUAGUCUUCCCUGUAGAUUCCCAAGAUGCUGUUUGCUGUAAGUUGUAGAUGGCUGUUCCCUAUGUUCCUUGGUUCUCCAUGUUUCUUGUGUUUGCUGGUUUCUCAUUUAUGUUUGUUUAAUACAACCCCUGCUUUUCUAGAUAUUAUUUAUAUCUGCUUAUUGCCUGCCAUCUCUUCCGCUCCCUCCUUUUACAGUGGUUGAGUAGCUACUGACAUGUAGUCAUUAUAUACUGGCCUGCCAAAAACUGGAUGGAUAGAUAAUCUAUGUAGUAAACUAUGGGCAGCCUUAACAGUAUAUUCCAGCCUAAAUCUAUCUGUAGACUACAUUACAUAAGGGGAAAGAAAGCAAACAUGGCCUCUCACUGCCCUCUGUCAUGUCUCUCAACAGGCCCACAGUAUGCAGCAUAACAGUGAUCUCUGCACAACUGCAGCCUGCUUUCAAACACCAGCACUUCUUCUGAGCCAGAGAGAAACUCAAAGCACAAGGCUGUCAGUCAAUGUCAGCGGAUCAGUAACAGACCUCAGACUCACCAUAAGGGUGAAGGGGAAGGUCAGCGGAUGAUGGUUUGAUUGGCAGGUGUAAGAGAGCCUGAGGAACAGAGAGUGCAGACAGCCGGGGCUCAGAUGAGGGACAUAUUCGUGAGGUAGCAUCUGAACCAGCAAUGAAGAAUGUGGAACCAGUUGUAUCAAUAUCAUCGGGGAAGGGGCUUUCAAGCACUCUUAUUCCCAAAGAGAGUCUUACAGCUCGAGCGGUCUGCCACAGUCUACAGUGAGAAUUGUGUAGUGUCCCGUCACUGCCAAAACCACAGUGUGCCAACGGUUAUCAUCCAGUCCUACUGCCUUAAAAGUGAUGCGUUUCCUGUGACCAUGGCCCUUCUGCAGGAAGUGGAGCUUGUUUUGGGACAGUCGCAGGCCAAGGAGCAGCUCAUCUGAAACUCCCUCCAACAGUGUGAAGAUGUAUUCACUCUUCUACACAUCAAAGAGAGUCAUUUGUGGGAUUUUCAGUGUGACAACAAUGGAGAACUCGGCGGGAAAGAAGUUACAAUUAAUGAAGAGCUGAGAUGCAGGGAAACUGAACAGCUGUGGAGAUCCAGAAAAUUGGAAUCCACGAGAACCUCUGGACUGGACCAUAUGGAUCCCAUCUUGCGCCCUGCCGGUCCCAGGAAUCACCCGAGACAGGAAGUCCAAUGGUAACAGAUCUGUAAAAGAAAUUCACAUCAAUUCAUCAUAAACAUAUGUAUGUUUUAUACUGUUUGCUUUAUAUGUAAAUUAAUAAAUAAAUAGGCAUACAGACAACU